GAUGAACGCUGGCGGCGUGCCUAAUACAUGCCAGUCGAGCGAACAGACGAGGAGCUUGCUCCUCUGACGUUAGCGGCGGACGGGUGAGUAACACGUGGAUAACCUACCUAUAAGACUGGGAUAACUUCGGGAAACCGGAGCUAAUACCGGAUAAUAUAUUGAACCGCAUGGUUCAAUAGUGAAAGACGGUUUUGCUGUCACUUAUAGAUGGAUCCGCGCCGCAUUAGCUAGUUGGUAAGGUAACGGCUUACCAAGGCGACGAUGCGUAGCCGACCUGAGAGGGGGAUCGGCCACACUGGAACUGAGACACGGUCCAGACUCCUACGGGAGGCAGCAGUAGGGAAUCUUCCGCAAUGGGCGAAAGCCUGACGGAGCAACGCCGCGUGAGUGAUGAAGGUUUUCGGAUCGUAAAACUCUGUUAUUAGGGAAGAACAAAUGUGUAAGUAACUAUGCACGUCUUGACGGUACCUAAUCAGAAAGCCACGGCUAACUACGUG
rnacentral:rRNA from 1 species